rnacentral:rRNA from 1 species
AGAGUUUGAUCCUGGCUCAGGACGAACGCUGGCGGCGUGCUUAACACAUGCAAGUCGAACGGAAAGGCCCGCUUGCGGGUACUCGAGUGGCGAACGGGUGAGUAACACGUGGGUAACCUGCCCUCAGCUUCGGGAUAACUCCGGGAAACCGGGGCUAAUACCGGAUAUUCAUUGCUCAUCGCAUGGUGGGUGGUGGAAAGUUUUUCGGCUGGGGAUGGGCCCGCGGCCUAUCAGCUUGUUGGUGGGGUGAUGGCCUACCAAGGCUUCGACGGGUAGCCGGCCUGAGAGGGCGACCGGCCACACUGGGACUGAGACACGGCCCAGACUCCUACGGGAGGCAGCAGUGGGGAAUAUUGCGCAAUGGGCGGAAGCCUGACGCAGCGACGCCGCGUGAGGGAUGACGGCCUUCGGGUUGUAAACCUCUUUCAGCAGGGACGAAUGUAGACGGUACCUGUAGAAGAAGCACCGGCCAACUACGUGCCAGCAGCCGCGGUAAUACGUAGGGUGCGAGCGUUGUCCGGAAUUAUUGGGCGUAAAGAGCUCGUAGGCGGUCUGUCGCGUCGAAUGUGAAAACCCGGGGCUCAACUCCGGGCUUGCAUUCGAUACGGGCAGGCUAGAGUUCGGUAGGGGAGCCUGGAAUUCCUGGUGUAGCGGUGAAAUGCGCAGAUAUCAGGAGGAACACCGGUGGCGAAGGCGGGACUCUGGGCCGAUACUGACGCUGAAGAGCGAAAGCGUGGGGAGCGAACAGGAUUAGAUACCCUGGUAGUCCACGCCGUAAACGAUGGGCACUAGGUGUGGGGGGUGUCGACUCCCCUCCGUGCCGAAGUAACGCAUUAAGUGCCCCGCCUGGGGAGUAC